UCCAGGAGCUGCUCUAAUUAAAUGCCCUCCCCCACAACUCCAGAGCAUGUGUAUAGACACUCCCAGAUUGCCAAGUAGGUGUUGUUUCAUGAUAAAAUGAUGAACACAGCAUAGAAUUUGCAACCAUGUUGCAGAGUUGCUAUAAAGAAAACUGCAAACAGUUUUGGAAAACUGUAAAUAUAUCAACUAUUUGAGUAACCUGUUAAAGCCUCAUACAAACAGUAAUCUGUCUAUAGAAUUUGCAUUUAGUACUGUAGAAAAUAAUCAAAGGUAACAUUUCAGACUUGCUUCUACCAGUGUGUAGAUACUUUAAUGUGUAUUUUUAAUUCUAAUUACCAACCUGAUUGAUGAAAAAAUAUGGGUGAACUGUGGGAGGGGAAAGAAAGACAGAAUAUUACUUUAGAAAUUGUACUUUUGUGUUGGCAAGUACACACACAUUUUACAGCAGAAGUAGUCUGGGGUCUUUUGGAUGAAUGGAAACAAGUUUGAUCAGUAGCAGUUGUUUAAUCUCACCCACCACCUGUCUUAUGCUGUUUGUGUUAGAAUUAUUACAAAUAUCCGUAGGAGACAUGCACAAGAAUGUAGGACAGAAUGCAUAAUAGAAAUCCAGACUGCAAUUGAUUGAGCCACAGUAGACAUCCAAAAGCUAUUUUUUCUUUUACCUCUUUUCUUAAAUUCACAUGUUUUCCAUUUACCAUGCAGUAGUUAUUUUUCUUUUGUUUAGCAAAUAAAAGUUCAUUGUUAACAGGACUACUUUAUAGCAUUUGUAUAUGAUGGUGUCUAAUAUUAUGGAAACAAAACUAACUAUAU